CACACUACCCCUACACACUAUCCCUACACACUACCCCUCCGUUUGCACGUUCCCGCGGAGGGUCCUCCAUAUUAAGGGCCGUCCCAAACCGUGUAGUGCGGAGGGAGAGUGGACUGUUCAGCCCUUAAAUAGCAAGUCUGCAUCGAUGAUCGCUCUGGACAACUUUUUCAGGAAGUGCAACAUCGAAAUGGAGGAGGAAACAACAUAUUGAUGUGAGUUCCACAUGCGUCCAUUAUUUCUCCCACGCCUUUUUCACACUGACAGAACAUCACAAAAAGAGUGGUGUGAAAAGAUAAAACAAAAGAAACAAAUCUUCUUCUCUGCUGACGUUUGAUUUAAUUGUGCACCCCCUGACACCUUAAAAUUUGAACACAACUGACAGAAUUCAUUUAUUCAUUCAUUCAUUUGUUGGAUUUGAAAUGCCAGAUAAUAGGAUUGGAAAACAUGUCAGUGAAAAAAAAGUGGGAUGCUUUCGUCUUCUGGAAGCAGCAGCGAUCCUUGUUAGUUGCAACCUGUGCCACAGCGCUACAGCCAUGCACAGUAGGCGUCUUUGUGUUACCAUGGCGAUGACGUUUUCCGGUGAGGCGACAGGGCAUCCCAUUCCUGACGAUCGUAUUUAUACCCUCCCCCUUCAAUAAUAGGUGCCCUCCACAGCUCCGAGUGUGACUUCUUUUGGAGUGACACUCGGUAGUGUAGGGGGAGUGUGUAGGGGGCGGUUUGGGAUUCAGCCCCGGAGUUACGCGCGUGCACCGCAACUCUGAAAAGACAGCAUCAAUGGAACCCCGAUUCGACGAGUCACCAUGGAAACGGGGAAGCGAAAGGCUGCGUUUUUGAACUGGAAGUUUUUAACGCGCUCAUAUGGCGAGUUUGAACACGUUUUUAGAAAGAAGUGCAACACCGCUGCAGCUGCAAAAGAGAGAGAGACGGCGUGGAGAACAGCCCGGAUCAGUGCAGCAUGGCUGGACAGCAGCAGGAUGGUUCCUCAGCUUCCACUGCACAGACUGACACAGUGAGAUGGAUGUUCAGGAAACACCAGAGCUUCAUUCUGUGGAAUUCAUGUGCAACUGUAUAAUUUAAUGUCCUCUAUGUAUUCCCAGUUAUCAGUAAAACAGAUUUACAAACUGCAUUUGCUGAGAAAACUCAAAAAACAGAUUAGGAGGGCAGAUCUGGAAAUUGAAAUACUGGAGCACAAGUUAGAGGUGGUGAUGGUCACAGGUGAAUUAUGUUAACUACUGGAACAUGAACUGAACUAUCUUUUAUUUGUAGGAAAUAAAGAAGAGCAAAUGAAA